rnacentral:miRNA from 1 species
UCUGUGAGACCAAAGAACUACUU